rnacentral:rRNA from 1 species
CGCUAGCUACAGGCUUAACACAUGCAAGUCGAGGGGCAGCGAGAGGAAAGCUGCUUCCUUGUCGGCGACCGGCGCACGGGUGAGUAACGCGUAUCCAACCUCCCCAUAGUAGAGGAUAGCCCGGCGAAAGUCGGAUUAAUACUCUAUGUUGUGUCAUGAGGACAUCUGAAUAACACCAAAGAUUUUAUCGCUAUGGGAUGGGGAUGCGUCUGAUUAGCUUGUCGGCGGGGUAACGGCCCACCGAGGCGACGAUCAGUAGGGGUUCUGAGAGGAAGGUCCCCCACAUUGGUACUGAGACACGGACCAAACUCCUACGGGAGGCAGCAGUGAGGAAUAUUGGUCAAUGGACGAGAGUCUGAACCAGCCAAGUAGCGUGCAAGGAUGACUGCCCUAUGGGUUGUAAACUGCUUUUAUGCGGGAAUAAAGUCAGGUACGUGUACCUGUUUGUAUGUACCGCAUGAAUAAGGACCGGCUAAUUCCGUGCCAGCCGCCGC